rnacentral:rRNA from 1 species
AUUGAACGCUGGCGGCAGGCCUAACACAUGCAAGUCGAGCGGAUGACGGGAGCUUGCUCCUUGAUUCAGCGGCGGACGGGUGAGUAAUGCCUAGGAAUCUGCCUGGUAGUGGGGGACAACGUUUCGAAAGGAACGCUAAUACCGCAUACGUCCUACGGGAGAAAGCAGGGGACCUUCGGGCCUUGCGCUAUCAGAUGAGCCUAGGUCGGAUUAGCUAGUAGGUGAGGUAAUGGCUCACCUAGGCGACGAUCCGUAACUGGUCUGAGAGGAUGAUCAGUCACACUGGAACUGAGACACGGUCCAGACUCCUACGGGAGGCAGCAGUGGGGAAUAUUGGACAAUGGGCGAAAGCCUGAUCCAGCCAUGCCGCGUGUGUGAAGAAGGUCUUCGGAUUGUAAAGCACUUUAAGUUGGGAGGAAGGGCAGUAAGCUAAUACCUUGCUGUUUUGACGUUACCGACAGAAUAAGCACCGGCUAACACUGUGCCAGCCGCCGCAGUAA